AGAACGAACGCUGGCGGCAUGCCUAAUACAUGCAAGUCGAACGAACUCUUCGGAGUUAGUGGCGCACGGGUGCGUAACGCGUGGGAAUCUGCCCCUUGGUUCGGAAUAACAGUUGGAAACGACUGCUAAUACCGGAUGAUGACGAAAGUCCAAAGAUUUAUCGCCCAGGGAUGAGCCCGCGUAGGAUAGCUAGUUGGUGAGGUAAAGCUCACCGAAGGCGACGAUCCGUUAGCUGGUCUGAGAGGAUGAUCAGCCAACACGUGGGACUGACGGACGACCGGCCCAGACCUCCGUACGGGAGGCCAGCAGUAGGGAAUAGUUGAACAAGU
rnacentral:rRNA from 1 species